UACGUAGGGUGCAAGCGUUAAUCGGAAUACUGGGCGUAAAGCGUGCGCAGGCGGUGAUGUAAGACAGGUGUGAAAUCCCCGGGCUUAACCUGGGAACUGCAUUUGUGACUGCAUUGCUGGAGUGCGGCAGAGGGGGAUGGAAUUCCGCGUGUAGCAGUGAAAUGCGUAGAUAUGCGGAGGAACACCGAUGGCGAAGGCAAUCCCCUGGGCCUGCACUGACGCUCAUGCACGAAAGCGUGGGGAGCAAACAGG
rnacentral:rRNA from 1 species